ensembl:lncRNA
AUGUUUUUAGGCGAACCCGCUACUGUGGACUAUCAUCAUCACCAUCAUCGGAAUCAUCGCAGUGGCAAUGGGAGUCAGGACAUGGAUGCUAGCCGGAGGAUCUCCGCAGGGUCCUUGCAUCCCAGACGAGCCGUUGAGAAGCCCUUGCCUUGCGCUACAAAGCGUCUUCAAUCAAUUGUUUUGAAAAGGCCUUUCCGUUUUCCGAUGAUGCCGGCGGUUCUGUUGUUUCUCUCUGUAAAGGACUCUCUUCGGUGACGGGUAUUCUUGGGUGGAUAAUACGGCUCUCGUUGUUAUUGCUUAAGAAUACGCGUAGUCGAGGAGAGUCAUGUCGGCGGCAACUGCAAUGGACUAGAGAGAGUGUUGAAUCCAGAAGGCCCACCUGCCUGCACGCAUACAUGCGUUUGCUAACGCCGAGGUUCACGCCCACAUCCAUUUAUUGAGUCAGCGAAGCUGCAUUUCCGGUCUGUGUGUGAUGCUUGUGCUGUUGAUUUAUCCGGCUACUCCUGCUCUUCAGCCAGUGCAAAGGAAAAAACAGGGUUUUCAUGAUUCGCUGUCCUCACCACAAAGGCUAUAUAUUGUAACGUCCCGGGCGGGGUUGUAGAUGCAAAUGUGUACCGUUUGUGUCAUAUAUUCUUUUCUCAGGACCACCGCACACACACUCUACCUUUUUAAUGCAAAUUGAUUUUGAAAUGACAUUUAUCAUGCAGGGUUUCCAUAUGGAACUCCGGGGGGGGAUGGAUGGAGGGGAAAAAAAACAAAAAUGAAUGAAAUGUCCACGAUGCCACUGACAGCUAAAUUUAUGCGGAUUGUAAAGGAACACACUGCAGAUAAACAGUUACCAUGGCUUUAGAUUGACCGCGGCGUGGCUUCCCAUGUAGGCACGCGUAUAUCAUGAAUAUGUAUUAGGCGAGCAUAUGAUGCUGCAUUCUAACAUCCAUGAAAUCCAUUUAGGGAACCUAAUAGGAUCUACUUGACUUAUGAAAGCUUAUGAUCAAAUCUUAUAAAUAUACAUGAGAUAGUUUUAUGUGGGAAAAAAAAAGUAUUCUUUUGCUUUAUUAUAUAUAUGUAGUUUGCAUAAAAACGAAGAGAUUGCAUUCGGACCGGCUGUUGAUGUAUUGACGUGGACGAUUUGCAAAUCUGCAAACAUUUGAAUUUGUUCUCCAUUAUCAUUCGGCACAUUUAAGUGAUGUAUUAGCAUUUCAGAUAGACUAAAGGCAACAAUCAGCCUGCUCUGUCCUUGAUCACUCUGUAAUUAUCGUUCUUUCGGCUGUGUGUUUAAAUGAGUGGAGAGAAAAGAGGUGUGGAGGAGGAAUAAUGUAAUGUUUUACCACUAGGGGACCCACACAACUGAAAAUCACAGCACUUGGUUAACUUUUUAAGUCAUAUUUUAUAUCAUUUUAAGGUGUUUGGGGUGCAUAGGUUCAAAACUAAUAGAAAUAUUUGUUUAGAUGAAAAUAGCUUUAGAUCUAGAUUUUUUUAAAUAUAAUGUGAUUAUUUUUUAUUCUUAGCAUGUACAUUCAAAAUGAAUGGCGGUUCAUUUAUUUCUUUGUUAAUUUUUGCUGAACAGUGCCUUAGGAGUAACAAUUAGGUCACAUGCAACCCUUACAAUUAUUUGUUAUAUUAGAAUAUUUUCCUGAAUGUAAGAUUAAAAUGAUUUUUUUAAACUAAAAUAUUCUACACUCAUAGUUGUGAUGUCUGGAGCAUAUUGAUAGCAUUUCUCUCUCAUAUCAUUUUUAUUGAUGCUGUUUAGUAAAUAUCUCGCUGUAAACUCCUCACACAGAUUAACUUCCAUCUGCCUGCAGUUUAUGACGUGAUGAAAUUAUUCAGGCCUCUGCAGCUCGUCUUCAAUUGUUCUUUAUUGAAAUGAUUUUUAUGUGCACAUCGUCUUUGUUCCUCCCCCUCAUAUCAUAAAUAAAGCUUGAUUUAAGUAAAAUUAUGAUGCA